rnacentral:rRNA from 1 species
GGUGCUAACGUCCGUCGUGAAGAGGGAAACAACCCAGACCGCCAGCUAAGGUCCCAAAGUCAUGGUUAAGUGGGAAACGAUGUGGGAAGGCCCAGACAGCCAGGAUGUUGGCUUAGAAGCAGCCAUCAUUUAAAGAAAGCGUAAUAGCUCACUGGUCGAGUCGGCCUGCGCGGAAGAUGUAACGGGGCUAAACCAUGCACCGAAGCUGCGGCAGCGACGCUUAUGCGUUGUUGGGUAGGGGAGCGUUCUGUAAGCCUGCGAAGGUGUGCUGUGAGGCAUGCUGGAGGUAUCAGAAGUGCGAAUGCUGACAUAAGUAACGAUAAAGCGGGUGAAAAGCCCGCUCGCCGGAAGACCAAGGGUUCCUGUCCAACGUUAAUCGGGGCAGGGUGAGUCGACCCCUAAGGCGAGGCCGAAAGGCGUAGUCGAUGGGAAACAGGUUAAUA